CUUGCUCCUUUGACGUUAGCGGCGGACGGGUGAGUAACACGUGGGUAACCUACCUAUAAGACUGGAAUAACUCCGGGAAACCGGGGCUAAUGCCGGAUAACAUGUUGAACCGCAUGGUUCUACAGUGAAAGGCGGCUUUGCUGUCACUUAUAGAUGGACCCGCGCCGUAUUAGCUAGUUGGUGAGGUAACGGCUCACCAAGGCAACGAUACGUAGCCGACCUGAGAGGGUGAUCGGCCACACUGGAACUGAGACACGGUCCAGACUCCUACGGGAGGCAGCAGUAGGGAAUCUUCCGCAAUGGGCGAAAGCCUGACGGAGCAACGCCGCGUGAGUGAUGAAGGUCUUCGGAUCGUAAAACUCUGUUAUUAGGGAAGAACAAAUGCGUAAGUAACUGUGCGCGUCUUGACGGUACCUAAUCAGAAAGCCACGGCUAACUACGUGCCAGCAGCCGCGGUAAUACGUAGGUGGCAAGCGUUAUCCGGAAUUAUUGGGCGUAAAGCGCGCGUAGGCGGUUUUUUAAGUCUGAUGUGAAAGCCCACGGCUCAACCGUGGAGGGUCAUUGGAAACUGAAAAACUUGAGUGCAGAAGAGGAAAGUGGAAUUCCAUGUGUAGCGGUGAAAUGCGCAGAGAUAUGGAGGAACACCAGUGGCGAAGGCGACUUUCUGGUCUGUAACUGACGCUGAUGUGCGAAAGCGUGG
rnacentral:rRNA from 1 species